rnacentral:rRNA from 1 species
UACGAAGGGGGCUAGCGUUGCUCGGAAUUACUGGGCGUAAAGCGCACGUAGGCGGCUUUCUAAGUCGGGGGUGAAAUCCUGGAGCUCAACUCCAGGACUGCCUUUGAUACUGAGAAGCUUGAGUCCGGGAGAGGUGAGUGGAACUGCGAGUGUAGAGGUGAAAUUCGUAGAUAUUCGCAAGAACACCAGUGGCGAAGGCGGCUCACUGGCCCGGUACUGACGCUGAGGUGCGAAAGCGUGGGGAGCAAACAGG